GUCAUCAUCAUUAAUAAAAUAUCUCAAACCUGUCCUGUCAUGCUUGGAUACAUAGCACUCUGUCCACUACACUUUGUCCAGACUCUACCUCACAGAACAACCGUGUACAAUUUAAAUCAUAGUAAAAUAAUUUGGAUUUCAUGCUCUGUGUUUGGAAACAUUUCCCUACAGGGGCACAGAUCAGUGUUUCCUGUGACUCACACCUGAGUCUGUUGUCUGGCCCUGUGUUGUAACUGCUCCAUAAACCCUUCUCUAUUUCGUACAUUACUUCCUGCUUGGAAUUGAUUUCAAAAACCAAACACAUUGACACAAAAGAAUGUCUGUUAACCUUUGUCCAGUUCAAAGUCAUUGUUCUCAGCAAUUAAAGAGUUGUAUAUGGUG